GAAUAUUGGACAAUGGGGGGAACCCUGAUCCAGCCAUGCCGCGUGUGUGAAGAAGGCCUUUUGGUUGUAAAGCACUUUAAGCGAGGAGGAGGAGCUCUUGGUUAAUACCCAAGAUGCUUGGACGUUACUCGCAGAAUAAGCACCGGCUAACUCUGUGCCCGCAGCCGCGUAAAUACAGAGGUGCAAAUCGUUAAUCGGAUUUACGGGGCGUAAAGCGCGGUUAGGUGGCAAAUAAAGUAAAAGUGGAAACCCCGGGGUUUAAUUGGGGAGUGGAAUUGGUUAUUGGUGGGUAAGAGAAGGGAGAGGAUGGUAGAAUUCCAGGUGUAGCGGUGAAAUGCGUAGAGAUCUGGAGGAAUACCGAUGGCGAAGGCAGCCAUCUGGUCUAAUACUGACACUGAGGUGCGAAAGCAUGGGGAGCAAACA
rnacentral:rRNA from 1 species